rnacentral:rRNA from 1 species
UAGGGAAUCUUCGGCAAUGGGGGGAACCCUGACCGAGCAACGCCGCGUGAGUGAAGAAGGUUUUCGGAUCGUAAAGCUCUGUUGUUAAGGAAGAACGAGUGUGAGAAUGGAAAGUUCAUACUGUGACGGUACUUAACCAGAAAGGGACGGCUAACUACGUGCCAGCAGCCGCGGUAAUACAUAUGUCCCGAGCGUUGUCCGGAUUUAUUGGGCGUAAAGCGAGCGCAGGCGGUUAGAUAAGUCUGAAGUUAAAGGCAGUGGCUCAGCCAUUGUAGGCUUUGGAAACUGUUUAACUUGAGUGCAGAAGGGGAGAGUGGAAUUCCAUGUGUAGCGGUGAAAUGCGUAGAUAUAUGGAGGAACACCGGUGGCGAAGGCGGCUCUCUGGUCUGUAACUGACGCUGAGGCUCGAAAGCGUGGGGAGCGAACAGGAUUAGAUACCCUGGUAGUCCACGCCGUAACGAUGAGUGCUAGGUGUUAGGUCCUUUCCGGGACUUAGUGCCGCAGCUAACGCAUUAAGCACUCCGCCUGGGGAGUACGACCGCAAGUU